CUCUCUUCUCUCUUCUGCCUCCUUUUUCUUCUUCCCUCACCACUCUUCCAUUUUCCUCUUUCUUUUCUUUGCUAGACCCUAAUGUGAGAAAAAGAGCAACAGAAGGAAACUCAUUCCUCCUCGUGGAAAGACGAUUUUCGUUCAUGAGUGCAGCGGCAGCGACGUUCUCUUCGUGACAACGGAGUUGUGGCUUCUUCAUGGUUUCGAAGAGGGUUUCCUUCCCGCAUCUCGCAAUCUUGGGUGUUGUUGUGAAAGAGAAAAUUUUUAGGUUGUUUUGGGGGUUUUGGACCCUUCUGGAGCUGUUGGUGAGGGUUUCAAAGUUGUUUCCCCACCUAAAUUGGGUGUGAGUAGAGGAUGAUGAGAUGUUAGUUGAGCAGACUCCUGGUGAAGAUGUCUCCAAUACUCCUAUGCAGUAGUAGUAGAUUCAUCUGUUUUUGUUUUCUUUUACUUUCUGGUUGAGAUGACCAUUAUUGUAUAUAGUUUU
rnacentral:sRNA from 1 species